AGGAUGAACGCUAGCGGCAGGCUUAACACAUGCAAGUCGAGGGGCAUCGGGAGUAGCAAUACUGCCGGCGACCGGCGCAAGGGUGCGUAACGCGUGAGCAACAUGCCCGUAUCAGGGGGAUAAUCCAUGGAAACGUGGUCUAAUACCCCAUAGUAAUUAUGUAAGGCAUCUUAUAUAAUUUAAAGCUUUGGUGGAUACGGAUUGGCUCGCGUGACAUUAGCUGGAUGGUAAGGUAACGGCUUACCAUGGCUACGAUGUCUAGGGGUUCUGAGAGGAAGGUCCCCCCACACUGGAACUGAGACACGGUCCAGACUCCUACGGGAGGCAGCAGUGAGGAAUAUUGGACAAUGGAUGGAAAUCUGAUCCAGCCAUGCCGCGUGCAAGGGAAGACGGCCCUAUGGGUUGUAAACUGCUUUUGUAUGGGAGCAAUAAGGGCUACGUGUAGUCCGAUGAGAGUACCAUACGAAUAAGCACCGGCUAACUCCGUGCCAGCCGCGGC
rnacentral:rRNA from 1 species